CGGCCGCCGCGGACCAUGGGCGACAAAGGGACACGAGUGUUCAAGAAGGCAAGCCCCAAUGGAAAGCUCACCGUCUACCUGGGAAAGCGGGACUUUGUGGACCACAUUGACCUGGUGGACCCCGUGGAUGGCGUGGUCCUGGUGGAUCCUGAGUAUCUCAAAGAAAGGCGAGUCUACGUGACACUGACCUGCGCCUUCCGGUAUGGCCGGGAAGACCUGGAUGUCUUGGGUCUGACUUUUCGCAAAGACCUGUUUGUGGCUAACGUGCAGUCCUUCCCACCGGCCCCUGAGGACAAGAAGCCACUGACUCGGCUACAAGAGCGACUCAUCAAGAAGCUGGGCGAGCAUGCCUACCCCUUCACCUUUGAGAUCCCGCCAAACCUUCCGUGCUCAGUCACAUUGCAACCUGGGCCUGAGGACACAGGGAAGGCCUGCGGUGUGGAUUAUGAAGUGAAAGCCUUCUGUGCUGAGAACCUGGAGGAGUGAAGCUGGUGGUGUCCCGGGGCGGCCUGUUGGGAGACCUUGCAUCCAGUGACGUGGCUGUGGAACUGCCCUUUACCUUAAUGCACCCCAAGCCUAAAGAGGAGCCCCCACAUCGGGAAGUUCCAGAGAGCGAGACUCCAGUAGACACCAAUCUCAUAGAGCUUGACACCAAUGAUGACGACAUUGUGUUUGAGGACUUUGCUCGUCAGCGGCUGAAAGGCAUGAAGGAUGACAAGGACGAAGAGGAUGAUGGCACCGGCUCUCCACACCUCAACAACAGAUAGACUGGGGCCAGCCUCAGCCCAGCAGCUCCAGAACAGUGAAGCUCAAGACCUGAUUUAAAGAGACAGACUCUGGAGAAGGGAGCAUUCCUGGUCUUGGCAUGAAUUAUUCAGGUUGG
rnacentral:lncRNA from 1 species